CUUUAGCAUAACAAGUAUUAAAGGUCCCGCCUGCCCAGUGAUUUAUUCAACGGCCGCGGUAUUAUAACCGUGCAAAGGUAGCGUAAUCAUUUGUCUUCUAAAUAAAGACCAGUAUGAACGGCUAAAUGAGGACAAGCCUGUCUCUUGCAACCAAUCAGUGAAACUGAUCUCCCGGUUCAAAAGCCGGGAUAACCCCAUAAGACGAGAAGACCCUGUGGAGCUUAAAAUAAACCGCUACGAAGCGCACGAAGCUGCAACUAGUGGGGAGUUUUGAGUUGGGGCGACUUCGGAACCAAAAACAACUUCCGAGCACAGAACCACCCAUUCUUACUAAGACCAACAAGUCAAAGCCUAAACAUGACCCAGUAACACUGAUCAACGAACCAAGUUACCCCAGGGAUAACAGCGCCAUCUUCUUCAAGAGUUCAUAUCGACAAGAAGGUUUACGACCUCGAUGUUGGAUCAGGACACCCCAAUGGUGCAGCCGCUAUUAAAGGUUCGUUUGUUCAACGAUUAACAGUCCUACGUGAUCUGAGUUCAGACCGGAGCAAUCCAG
rnacentral:rRNA from 1 species